GACGAACGCUGGCGGCGUGCUUAACACAUGCAAGUCGAACGGUAAGGCCCUUCGGGGUACACGAGUGGCGAACGGGUGAGUAACACGUGGGUGAUCUGCCCUGCACUUCGGGAUAAGCCUGGGAAACUGGGUCUAAUACCGGAUAGGACCACUGCCUGCAUGGGUGGUGGUGGAAAGCUUUUGCGGUGUGGGAUGGGCCCGCGGCCUAUCAGCUGGGUGGUGGGGUGAUGGCCGACCAAGGCGACGUCGGGUAGCCGGCCUGAGAGGGUGACCGGCCACCCUGGGACUGAGAUACGGCCCAGACUCCUACGGGAGGCAGCAGUGGGGAAUAUUGCCCAAUGGGCGCAAGCCUGAUGCAGCGACGCCGCGUGAGGGAUGACGGCCUUCGGGUUGUAAACCUCUUUCAGCACCGACGAAGCGCAAGUGACGGUAGGUGCAGAAGAAGGACCGGCCAACUACGUGCCAGCCGCCGCGGUAA
rnacentral:rRNA from 1 species